UUUCUUUGCUGGCGACCGGCGCACGGGUGAGUAACACGUAUCCAACCUGCCUCAUACUCGGGGAUAGCCUUUCGAAAGAAAGAUUAAUAUCCGAUAGCAUAUAUUUCCCGCAUGGGUUUUAUAUUAAAGAAAUUCGGUAUGAGAUGGGGAUGCGUUCCAUUAGUUUGUUGGGGGGGUAACGGCCCACCAAGACUACGAUGGAUAGGGGUUCUGAGAGGAAGGUCCCCCACAUUGGAACUGAGACACGGUCCAA
rnacentral:rRNA from 1 species